AUAAUAUAAAAUAAUAUUUAAAGUUAUCUUGUGACAUUUGAUGGCAGCUGACAUCAUUUCCUAGACCUGGGUUAUCUUGUGACUUUUGAUGGCAGCUGACAGCAUUUCCUGGACCUGGGUAUACUGGUGUUUAUGUUCAUCAUCAAAAUAUGGGUUAUCUUGUGACACUUGAUGGCAGCUGAAAGCAUUUCCUGGACCUGGGUAUACUGGUGUUUAUGUUCAUCAUCAAAAUAUAGGUUAUCUUGUGACUUUUGAUGGCAGCUGACAGCAUUUCCUGGACCUGGGUAUACUGGUGUUUAUGUUCAUCAUCAAAAUAUAGGU